UAUGUGGGAUAACUGAUGUCUUUGGAAUAGACUUCAAAUGAAUGAUAAAAACACCUGUAAAGUGAUAGGACCUCUACUUUUUCUCAUGUCCAAUGUUCAGUUUCUUAUAAACCAGGCAUGAAGAGAAACAAAAAGUAAUUAAUUCUCCAGAUCAUGAAGUUGUCUUCAACCUAAGCACAGAGGUAUAAUAAUUACAUUUCUCAGAAGUUCCCCCUCUGUUUUGAGUCUCAAGGGCAAUUGAGAUGUCAGUGAGGCUGUGAUUAAAUGUAUUGGAUAUUAGAGGAUUUUAAAUACAAACAAGUAUUAUAGGUGUUACCACUGACCCCGAAGGUAAGAUUUACUGUGAAAAUUUAUAAUGCAAGGAAGAAUGAUCAAGUUGGCUGUCAGAACAACAAAAUAUUACAAACCAGGAUGUCUAAGAGCAGAAGUCCGUGGUUGCCACCUCUCAAGCCUCUUAGCUUAAUCCAAUCUAGGAUGCAUUUCCACUCUGCAACAAACAGUAUUUAUUUUUGCCUUAUUUGCAGAUAACAGUUUUAAUGCAGGUACUGCCCAUGGAUUAGCUUUGAGCAGUGUCUUUUUGCUUUGGUUUUUUUAUUUGUUUGGUUUGUUUUGAGACUGAGUCUCAGUCCUCCAGGCUGGAGUGCAGUGGUGUGACUUUGGCUCACUGCAACCUCUGCCUCCCGGGUUCAAGCGAGUCUCCUGCCUCAGCCUCCCAAGUAGCUGAGUCUACAGGCGUGAGCCACCAUCCCCGGCCAAGCAGUAUCUUUUUGCUUUGAAAGUGACUUACAUGUACAUUUGUUUUCCUUGUGAAUGUUUCUUUUUAACUGCAAACUAAGAAACAUUGAGCCCAGCAUUCAUAUAUUUGCAAACUCUGUCUUACUUAAUUUCUCAGUUUUUUUCCUCAGAAAAAAUGAAAUUCCUUUUCUUUUUUAAAUUUAUUUUUUCUUUAUUUUUCUUUAUAAAGUGAAGAGUAGGUAGCAUGAAUUCCUCUUGCCCUUUGCUAUUUCAGUCUGGCAUCAGUAGCAAUUGUUGCUAUGUCCAGUUUUCAUUCAUGGAUUUUUCUGGGAUUGAAGAUGAGUUCAAUGUUGAUUAUUUAAUUGGGCAGUAUAAGUAAAUUCAUUGGCUCUCCUUCCAGUUUAGUGAAUACUAAAUAUCAUCCAUGAUAUUUUAUACUUCUUACACUUCUGGAAUCUAACCUGAAAAUAGAAGUUGUAAGUCAGGGACGGUGGUAUGUGCCUCUAGUCUCAGCUAGUUGGGAGGCUGAGGCUUGAGCCCAGGCCUUCAAGGCUGUAGUGCACAAUGACUGUACUUGUGAAUAGCCACUGCACUCCAGCCUGGGCAACAUAGCAAGACUCCCACCCCUUAAGAAAAAAGAAGAGAGAAAAAAAUAGAAGUUGUGGAGAGGGAGGAGGAUGCUUGAAUACUUUGACCGUACUUGGCAUAAUAGACAUUUUGAGGGUUUUUUUGUUUUCUUAAAAUUCCUCUGGAUCAGUUUUCAUUGUUUCUAGUAAUUAUAUUUAUCGUUAAUGAAUUCAUAUUCUGCUCUAGCCCCUAAAGAUAGUUUGAUAUGCUAACUUUUGUUUUGCCUUUCUAGCUGCUAAGAUAGAUAAUGGUUAUUGCAAAAUGCACGUUUUUAAAUGGUCUCCAGUGUGGAUUGCUUCUGAGCUGCUGAUGGAUUGAAUACAUUGAGAAGGAAUGUGUCAUUUGGAAUCCAGGACCAGUCAGCAAGGAUAACUGCCUGAUUUUAUGAUUUCGUGACUGAUGCUGAAAUGGAAGCCAACCACUGCAGAAAUUUGGGGGAAAAUGAGAUCUGAAGAAUACAAGGGGAAGUAGGAAUUCAUUUCUAGCAUUUCCAAACCUGCUUAAUCGUGUCUGCUCCACCACAGUCAGAGGAAAAGACUGAGUUCAUGGAAAUUACCAGCUAAGCCUUACAUCUGUCUUUAAUGUUUUUAGGAAGUAUACUGAAAAGGUAAGUGAGAUGUCUGUUUUGAAGAAAGACUCUUACUGGGUACCUUAAAACCCGUUGUUUCCUAUUAGUAAAGAUGGGCAGCUUCUUUAUUCCUAGCUUCAAAAAGCCUUGCCCCUGUUUGGUGUGUUUCUCAGUAUUGUGGAGAAGGUAGUUUCUGAGCAAGGUGGUGCUUUUCCUCUGCUUCUCAGCAGCUAAGACAGAAAUUGCACCGAAGUGUACAAAGGGCCAAUUUUUGUUGUCCUGUUGUGCUCAAAUCCUUUUUUUUAAAAAAGUUAUUUCAAUCAAGUCUUAGUUUUAUUCCUCACUAUAUAGGAAAAAAAUCUUUAAUGCCUCAAAAGUUCCAUUCAGCAUUACAUUUGCAUUACUCUUAUUUGCAGCAAAUAUGAGUAAAAUUAUAGGUUUUUAAAGGUCUCUAAUAACAUCCACUUAUAUUGGUUUUGUAGAUAAUCCAUAAAUUACCAGAAAUAAAUUAUUCCACAUUUAUUACACACCCAUGUAAUAGAUGUCGUGCCAGGCCCUGGAAUAUACUAAUGGCAUCACCUCAUGUGGUAAAAAGACACAUUCCGCCAUCCUGGAGUAUACAAAGGUAGACUAGCAUAUAGUUCAUGUGCUCAAGGAGUUCAUUUUUAUUGACAUGAUACAGAUAGAAUUGUAGUUUAGGGAAUCAAAAUCUAAUAAAAUGAGGCUAAUUCCAUUUUCCCAUUAACACUAAUAACUAGUGUGUAAAUCUGAAUAUGACACAUUCUAUAUGAAAGAAGCUCUGUGUGCAUCUACACUAAAUACUCGUGUGUGCCAGGUACUGUUUUAAACUACGUAUAUUUUUUUAAUUCUCAUAACUGUUCUCUGAGGUAUGUACUAAUACUAAAGCUUAUUGUUAAAGGAAGGCAGAAAAAUUAAGUAACUUGGCCUAAGUUUGCAUAACUGUGAUCUGGGAUCAAUAUUUGAACCCAUACAGGCUGAUUGCAGAGCCUGCACUCUUAAUUUGAGUGUGAUAUUUAUGUGCAGUACCUGGCUAUAAGUACCCACAAAACGUUUCAAAUUCUUUAUAAAAUUUGCUUAGUUAAAAAAGUACCAAUUGCAUAAUAUGGUUAUAAGUCUGGUAGAAGUUAGGCUUUUUACAAGACAUGCUGCUUACUGCACCAAGGAGGCAAGAAGGCUUUUUAGAGAGCCCAGAAUUUCCUUUCCUCAACUCCUGCUUCCAAGACAGUCAUUUUGCAUGAUAACCGUUUCCCCAAAAAACACAGACACAAAAUUUAAAGAACUGGAACAGAGGAAGCAGAGCUUAUCAUAGUAUAUAUGUUUAGUACCCUGUCACUUAGGUCCACCCCUCUUUCUUUGUGGAUUGUGGACAUUUUGUUUAACUGCUAAAUCAUGAGAAUAUAUGACUGCUGAGACUUUUCCAAGGAUUUUUUAAAAAACACAUUAGGCUUUGUGCAGAAGUAAAGAAAAAGUGCUGUGAGAACCCCAGGUAGGUAAUUUACUUUCUAUUGUACUCAUAGUUUGUUUGAAACCUCUUCACCUCUAUCCCUUAUUGUUUUAUACUCUGUAAAUCUGAUUUUACCUUUAAUAAACUUUUCUGAAGUGA
ensembl:lncRNA LINC01355 long intergenic non-protein coding RNA 1355